GACAAUAUUAUUAACUUCUGUAUUUCUCUUACAGAUCAAUUAAAGACGGCAGGCCCAAGGAGGACGACCCGUGCCAGCGGGCAAACAAUUAUAUAACCUACAGCCUGGAGAUUUUGUGUUUCUUAAAAAUUUCAGGAAGAAGAACUGAUGACCCCAGUGAAGGUUGUGGAUUUUCUUAAAUCCACCUGGAUCCUCGCCAGCCAUUGGCGAGAAGUUCACUGGAAAUCGAAUCGCCCAGAAUCCCACCACGGGGAUUCCAACAAAGUAUCCCUGAAAAAAUAGGGAUACCACCAACGGCCCACUCAGUAGGUGGUCUACCUAGCUGAGGCAGCAUGGAGAACAUAGUCGGAAUGGGACAUCGCCGCAGAAAAACACCCACAUGGAUUAAGAAUGCCGUACUUCAUAACCCAUAACUCUCCUCAUGUUGAGAUUGAGAAUGUUUUUUUUAUUUCUAAUCGACUCAUUUUCUAAUAAUAAUCCCGCAGAUGAAGUUUGGAGCCAGUCUGCAGUGACUCUUCCUUCUGCUUUGACUGCUGCAGGUUCCUUUGUUGUCAUAUUUUCAGAUAUUCUGGGAUUUAUCUGCAGAAGACGUCCACAACGUGCCUGUCUAAAAGCUGAAACAUCCAGAUCGUCUGCACAAGGAGAAACUGCCACUGUAACAACAAGGACAUUGAGCCAGAGACUGCUUCCAGAGACGAUUCAAACCACAACCAGGUGGGUGAAGGUUGCACAGGGGCUGAGGAGGAAGAUUUGAUGGCAACCAGGGAAGCUUCCCCAGGGGGUCAAGGCUUUCGUUUCAGAGGUGGAUUUACAGGACAUCAUGGAGGGUAUUCCUCCUGACUAUACCAGGUUCUGUUGUAAUGCAAAUUUGACUCUGAAUUCUGAUGGUGUCCGUUUGUUUGUCUGUUUCAUGUUGGAGUGAAUGAUUGUUUACGUGUCAUUUUGUCUCAGUGUUCUGUGUUUUCAUGCGCAUGCGAAGAAGAUAAAAUCACAAUCUUAUUUGCAGGAUUUCCCAAACAUCGGAAAGGGACCACCAAUGAAACCUUGAAUUAUUUCAACAACAUGUAAUGACAACAUGAUUAACUUCUGUAUUUCUCUUGUAGAUCAAUUAAAGACUGCAGGCCCAAGGAGGACAACCCGUGCCAACGGGCAAACACUUAUAUAACCUACAGCCUGGAGAUUUUUUUUCUUAAAAUUUUCAGGAAGAAGAAUUGAUGACUGCAGUGAAGGUUGUGGAUUUUCUUAAAUCCACCUGGGUCCUCGCCAGCAAGUGGUGAGAAGUUCAAUGGGAAAUCGAAUCGCCCAGAAUCCCACCAAGGGGAUUCCAACAACGUAUCCCUGAAAAAAUAGGGAUACCACCGACGGCCCACUCAGUAGGUGGUCUACCUAGCUGAGGCAGCAUGGAGAACAUGGUCGGGAUGGGACAUCGCCGCAGAACAACACCCACGUGGAUUAAGGAUGCCGUACUUCAUAACCCAUAACUCUCCUGAUGUUGAGAUUGAGUUUUUGUCUUUGUAUUCUUUAGAAGUUCAACAUUUUCCAUUUUCUGGUUUUUGCUUUGCUUAACAUCAUCAGAAGACAAAACUCUUGCUAAAACUCCUGUGAUGCUUUUAUUCUGGACCAUUACUAAAUGACCAAUGUAGACUGAUGUGUUGUUUCUCUUCUAGCACUUUUUACUUCAUUUUAUACUUCAUUUGAUCAUUUCUAGGUUUUAUUUACUUAGUUAUUUGUUUGCUACCCACUAGAAAAAAAGGGUGAAGUUGUGAAGUAGAUUUUACUUUCCAGAGAAAAUCUUUUAUUUGCAUCAUAUAAAUAAUUAGCAUAGUCAAGAUGUUUUUUCAUGCAGCUGCAGAGAGGGUGUACAAACUAAUUGAACAAGAUGUCUGGGAACUUGCUGUUUUUCCAAUGAUUUUUUCUGAUGCAGUGUAUUUUUGCUCUCUGUCUGCAGAUGUAUUAAAGAUUGUUUUUGCUCCCUGAAGUUUGUCUGGACCUCGGUCUCUGAAUUGUGCAACUUCACAGUAUUUUUUCCAUCUCAGCACCACAGUUAAUGGCGGUGAACCACGUCUGGCUUCAACCACAAAAACCACAGCAGAAGAAAAAAAUGUGACAGAAGUUUGCUGAGCUCAUGUUCGGAACAUAAAACCAACUCCUCCAGGGAAUCUAUGAACCACGCAUGAACGUCAUGUCAGAGGAAAUCUAAGCUGUGAUUUCCUCUGUUCUAUCAAGAAACAGAGAACAGGAAGAGGCAUUUAGGAGCACAAUAAAUUUGGUUGGUUGAAUCAUUACUGUUACUGUAAACCCAUGUUGUGAAACAACCAUACGAUUACCAAGUAAAGCCAACUUGUCAGAUCAUUUCUUACAUCUUUUAUAGUUUGCAGAGACGUUACAAAGGAUUCUUGUGCACAAAGGUAUCAGUCAGGAGAAGGAUGCAAUGAAUACAAUAGCAUUAAAUUUUAAAGUAAUUGAAGAAGACAUGGGAUCGUCAAC